UGCGCAGGCGGCCAAGUGUGUGAGGCGUGAAAGCCCGGGGCUUAACCCCGGAAUUGCACCUCAAACUACAUGGCUAGAGCAUUGGAGAGGGUAGCAGAAUUCACGGUGUAGCAGUGAAAUGCGUAGAUAUCGUGAGGAAUACCAGAGGCGAAGGCGGCUACCUGGACAAUUGCUGACGCUCAGGCACGAAAGCGUGGGGAGCAAAAGGGAUUAGAUACCCCUGUAGUCCACGCCCUAAACGGUGCACACUAGGUCUUGGCGGAUUCGACCCCACCAGGGCCCAAGCUAACGCGUUAAGUGUGCCGCCUGAGGACUACGGCCGCAAGGCUAAA
rnacentral:rRNA from 1 species